GCCAUUUCUUGUGAAUGCUAAACAACGGGGACUCUGUUUUUGGUCCUUAUGCCUUGACCACCUGUUUCUUAGAGUCCUAUCUCUUAUCUUAUUACCUGAUGAGUGGUGUCCUCUCAAGAUUCAUGAUAUUUGUGAGAAGACGUAGGACAACUAAGAUAACACUGGACAAAAUAGACACCAAGUUAAGACCAGACCUGGCAGACACUCUCAGGAUCUACUAGCAAGCUUUGCACAUGAUGCUCACUUGAAAUAGACAUGGCAGUAUUCCGGAGACCAAGGGCUAAAUGCAAGACCUUUGAGGGAUCAAGUCUCAUGUACCAUCCCCAAGGUUAUUUCCAAAAAAGAUUAACACUUGAGUUGGUGAACUGUGAACUGCAUACAGUCUCCCCAGUCUGGGUGAGCAUUAUCCAAUGUCAGGCAGCACCGAACAAAAGUAAAAAAAGGUCACAACCAGGAUCUAUUCUCCACUUUUUCUUGCCAUUGGUAGUGUCCUUAUUUUAGAAUUCUAUAGGAUGGAAUGUGAGUGGAAGUCACACGUCCAAUUUCUGCAGCACGGCUUUUAAAAACCAGGAGACUUGAUUUGAGGAUGAAAGCGUCUUAUUCAGAGAUACCUGCUUCUUUUGACUUUCUGGCCUCACCAUUC